CUUUUUGUUGCUUUGGUGAUGGAGCUUGAGUUGGAGGAACUGGAAACGUGGGUCUAGGUGGGACUGCUUCCCUUAGGCAACCAUGUGACUAUCAACACCAGUAGAGACAUUUCAGAGCUGGCAUGGAUCCUAGAGAAUGAAAAGACCAAAUAUUUCAUCAAGAUUAGUCUUCAGAAAAGGCAACACAAAGAACCACUAUAAAGGACCUCAGUAGCCUUCUAAUCCUUCUCUAGCUAUGUUUAAUUUCAUUCCUGUAAUAUCUAGAAAUAUGGACUUAAACUAACUUUUAGCCAUAGUGUAACUGUCAAGAAGAAUGAAAAUCUUGGGCAAGCCACUUAAUUGA